CCGAGUGGCCGCACUGAUUAGCAAGGCAAAGUAGAGUUUUCAGAGACGGUCACCGAGCCGCGGAGGACUGUUUUUAUAAUUACAUCCAAACAACGAACACGCAAGGAUAAACAUGCACAAGUUUCCGGCUCGUACCUGAAUCGCGAGGAGUUUUUCAGAGGCGAGCAGGAGGAGCGAGGAGGAAACAAAUUAAAUCAGUGGGAAUGCAGGGAAUUAAAUAGAGACUUAAGCAUUUUGUGUGGCUACAAGUGUGUGUGGCUCUGCAAACCCCGUCCGGGAAGGAGACGACACAACUUGAAACCCACUUUCCAGUUGACUUCAGUUCUCGUUUGGAGUGGUGAUGUCUUGAUUCUGUGGCCUCUCCAGCCCAGUGAAGGACGUGCCAGUGCCGGGCUGCUGCUCAUGGGAACUCCUGCUCCGCCAUGAGUACCCGUGAUGGCGUCGGUGGCAUGGGCACCCUUGGCAGGCGGCAGCGCUAUGAGAACUCAGAGUUCACCGUGCGCAUCUACCCCGGCGCCUUGGCCGAGGGAACCAUCUACUGCCCGAUCAGUGCCCGCAAGACCACCACAGCAGCCGAGGCCAUCGAACGCGUCAUUGAGCGCCUGGUGUUGGAUCGCACCAGGUGUUAUGUUCUGGCCGAGGUGAAGGAGUUUGGAGGUGAAGAAUGGAUUCUGAAUCCGUGCGACUGUCCUGUGCAGAGGAUGAUGCUCUGGCCCCGUGUGGCUCUAGAGCAUCGUCCGCUGUCUGGCGGCGAGGAUUACCGCUUCCUCCUGAGGCAGAAGAACCUGGACGGAUCAAUCCACUAUGGUGGCAGCCUCCAGAUGUGGCUGCAGGUCACAGAGGAACGCAGGUGCAUGGUGGAACGAGGACUGCUACCACAGCCUGAGUCUCAGGGAGACCAUGCAGAUCUGUGCCGCCUGCCAGAGCUCAAUGAGCGCUCGCUGCUGGACAACCUGCGCUCACGCUUCCUCCAGGAAAGGAUCUACACUUAUGUCGGAAGCAUCCUCAUCGUCAUAAACCCCUUCAAGUUCCUGCCUAUCUACAACCCCAAGUAUGUGAAGAUGUAUGAUAAUCAUACACUGGGAGAUCUUGAGCCACAUAUUUAUGCCGUUGCAGACGUGGCGUAUCACGCCAUGCUGCAGAGAGAGAGAAAUCAGUGCAUCGUGAUAUCAGGGGAGAGCGGAUCUGGGAAGACACAAAGCACAAACUUUCUCAUUCAUCAUCUGACCGCUCUCAGCCAGAAGGGUUUCGCCAGUGGAGUGGAGCAGAUUAUCUUGGGGGCGGGACCAGUGUUAGAGGCUUUUGGGAACGCAAAGACUGCCCACAAUAACAACUCCAGCCGCUUUGGCAAAUUCAUUCAGGUGAACUACCAGGAGAGCGGCACAGUGAGAGGAGCAUAUGUGGAGAAAUACCUCCUGGAGAAGUCAAGGCUGGUUUAUCAGGAGCACAAUGAGAGAAACUACCACGUCUUUUACUACCUGCUGGCAGGAGCAAGUGAAGAAGAGAGAAAGGCCUUUCACCUCAUGAAGCCUGAAGAAUACCAUUACCUCAGUCAGAUUUCAAAGUCAUCCCACCAACUGCACUGGGACAGUUACUGUGACAGUGAACCGGAUUGUUUCACAGUGGAAGGAGAAGACCUGAAGCAUGACUUUGAGAGGCUUCAGCUGGCCAUGGAGAUGGUGGGCUUUCUCCCUUCCACACGAAAACAGAUUUUCUCUCUGCUGUCGGCAAUUCUUCACCUGGGGAACAUCCGCUACAAGAGGAAAACCUACAGAGACGACUCCAUUGACAUCUGUAACCCUGAGGUGCUGCCUGUCGUCUCAGAGCUGCUGGAGGUCAAAGAGGAGACGCUGUUUGAAGCCCUGACAACGCGGAAAACAGUGACUGUUGGAGAGAAGCUGAUUGUGCCAUACAAACUUUCAGAGGCGGGUACCGUUCGUGACUCCAUGGCCAAGUCUCUCUACAGCGCUCUGUUUGACUGGAUCGUCUUCAGGAUCAACCACGCUCUGCUCAACAUCAAGGACCUGGUGGAGACCACCAAGAUCUUAUCCAUCGGAGUGCUCGACAUAUUUGGUUUCGAGGAUUAUGAGAACAACAGCUUCGAACAAUUCUGCAUCAACUUUGCCAACGAGCGUCUCCAGCACUACUUCAACCAGCACACCUUCAAGCUCGAACAGGAGGAGUACAGGUUAGAGGGCAUCAGCUGGCACAACAUCGACUACAUCGACAACACAGGCUGCAUUAACCUGAUCAGCAAGAAACCCACAGCGCUGUUUCACCUACUGGAUGAAGAGUGCAAUUUCCCUCAGGCCACCAACCAGACUCUGUUGGAUAAAUUCAAGCGGCAGCAUGAGGGGAACAGCUACAUCGAGUUUCCUGCUGUCAUGGAGCCUGCAUUCAUCAUCCAGCACUAUGCUGGAAAAGUCAAGUACGGCGUCAAGGACUUCAGGGAGAAGAACACCGACCACAUGCGCCCGGACAUCGUUGCUCUGCUGAAGAGCAGCAAGAACGCCUUCAUCUGCGGGCUGAUCGGCAUCGACCCGUCAGCCACUUUCCGCUGGGCGGUUCUCCGAGCCUACUUCAGGGCCCUGGUGGCUUUCAGAGAGGCAGGGAAGAGACACACGCAGAAGAAGACUGGGCAUGAUGACGCUGCUCCCUGUGCAGUUUUGAAAAGUGUGGAUAGUUUUAGCUUUCUGCAGCAUCCUGUGCAUCAGAGAAGCUUAGAGAUCCUGCAGAGAUGCAAAGAGGAGAAGUACAGUGUGACCAGAAGGAGUCCACGUACGCCGCUGUCAGACCUUCAGGGGAGCAACACCAUCAAUGAGAUCUCACCACGUGGUUCUCCAGGUCUCGGGUGGAACGGCCGUUUGAGUCGACAGAGUCGUUUAUCCAGCGGCUCCAACACAGAAGAAGACGGCAUCUUUGUCAACUCUGCCAACAGCAAAUUGCUGGAGAGAGCGCACGACAUCCUCAUGAGGAACAAAAACUACAAAUCAAAGCCAGUUCUCCCCAAGCAUUUACUGAAUGUAAAGUCCCUGAAGUACCUCAGCAGCCUGACGCUUCACGACCGCAUCACCAAGUCACUUCUUCAUCUGCACAAGAAGAAGAAACCACCCAGUAUCAGCGCACAGUUCCAGGCGUCCCUCAAUAAGCUAAUGGAGACUCUGGGUCAGUCUGAGCCUUAUUUUGUCAAGUGCAUCCGUUCAAAUGCUGAGAAGCUGCCUUUAAGGUUUAAUGAUAACCUGGUGCUGAGGCAGUUGCGUUACACUGGCAUGCUGGAGACUGUGCGCAUCCGGCAGUCGGGUUACAACAUCAAGUACAGCUUCAAGGAUUUUGUUCAUCACUUCAGCGUGCUUCUCCCAUCGGGUACCAGGGCCACCAGAGAGGGCAUCCAGAAGUGUCUGGACCAACUGGAUCUGCAGCCAGAUGGAUACCAAGUGGGAAAAACAAUGGUGUUUCUGCAUGAAGCUGAGCGUCUGCGCCUGCAGGCCUUACUGCACAGAGAAGUAUUCGGACGGAUCGUCACGCUGCAGCGACGCUUCAGAGCCCGGCUGGAGAGGAGGCAGUUUGUGAGAAUGAGAGACGCAGCAGUCUGCAUCCAGAAAUGGUGGCGUUCAUACCAAUCCAGAGAAGAAGGAGUGGAGGUAGAAGAAGAUGUGGAAGAGGAGGUAGAAGAGGAAGAGGAGUAUGAUUAUGAUCCUUCUGCCCAGGAGGGGGCAGCGUUGUGUCUGCAGACUCACUGGCGGGGUUACAAGGAGCGUCAGAGGUUCAGGCUGUGGAGGCAUGCAGCUGUGGUGCUGCAGAGAGCGUGGAGGUCAUGGCUCUCCAGACGCUGCUCAGCCACUCUGGUUAUUCAGACGGCCUGGCGAUGUCACAAAGCCAGAGAAGCGUACCUGCGUCUGUACGCUGCUGUGGUACGACUACAGGCAACCUGCAGAGGCUACCUGGAUAGGCAAAGCUUCAAAAAACUGAACGAUCAGAGACUAAAGGAGAAAAAGGAGCAGCAGGACAAGCUGCUGCAGCUACAGAAUGGACAGGUGAGUCUCUCCCCAGAAGAAGAGGAGCAGCCGUCUGAGAGGAUCAUGGACUUGGACCUCGGCACGUGGGAGGAUCCUUCCUACCAGCAGCAGGAAAGGAGCCUCCAUAUCCUCAGCAGCAAGGAGGAGGAAGGAGGAGAACAUGCUGGGACAAAGGAGAGUAUGACUAAAGUGGAAGCUGAAGCAUUCCCCACCACCACUGUGGUGGUACGAGAGAGAUCCAGGACUGUAGACGAGCCCAGCCAGAAGACAACCCGAGCCAAGAGAGAGAGCCGGCGGAUGAGGGAGUUAGAGCAGGCAAAGUUCAGCCUGGAGCUCCUCAAGGUUCGCUCAACCAGUGGAGGAUCCUCGUCACCAUCUGACGAGCGACGCUGGUCAGUGGAGCUGAUGCCCUCUAUUACCCCGCCCCUCCGUUCACCGCAGGGCACGCCUGACAGCCAGAGCUCCAAAGGCAGCUUUGAGCUUCUCAGCAUGGAAGAUGAGGCACCGAAGGCAGUAGAGGAGGUGACAGACAGUGAGGACGCCUUCUCCCCUCCUCCCCCAGACGCUCCAGAACCAGAGCCUCAUGUGGAAGUGAUGUCACCAAGCCCAAAGCCAGCUGAACUGCACAGGACAGAGAUUUCUGAUGCUGCUGAUGCACCAGGUAGCAAAGGCCCUAGCAGAACAGAUUUGACAACUCCUUCUGCACCCACUCAUCCGCCCAAAGUCGACUACCUCCCUACAUUUUAUGUUCCUGCCAGCGAGGGCAGCACCGUCAUCUCCCAGCAUCUCACAGAAGAGCCUCAACAAACGACAGAGGCAACCGUCCCCACAACCACCACCACCAUUGUUACCAAGUCUGUCAAAGAAAGGAAAGAAUCCACACGCCGACCUGUGGUUGUUGUCAUCAGUAUGCAGAAAGAGACCCCGCUAAGUGAGGAGCUCAGUGAUAUCAUCCGUCCUCCUGUUGAGGUUCGAGAUUCAGCUGCUCAAACAGGGGAGCUGACACCUUCACCCUUGAAACCAAACCCAGCUCCUGUGCCUCAAGGUCCUGUCCCUGCUCCUACGUCUGGCCCUCAGGCCGACCCGGCCGUCAUAGAGAAGCUGGUGCGACUGAACGAGGAGAAGGAGGUGCGGCAGAGGAACCAGCAGCAGCAGAACGAGAAGGAGAUGAUGGAGCAGAUCAGGCAGCAGAAAGAAGCUCUGGAGAGGCAGCGGCUCUUCUUCGCUCAGUACGAGAGAGAAAUGUUCGAGAAACAGAGAGGUGAAGCUCUGAACAAGAUCCAGCAGAGUCGACAGGUUGGACCAGACGUGGGAGGAACUGCAACAUCCGGCAAGCCCAUCAGACCCAGUUCACUGCUGAUAGAGAGGGCGGCAAGUUUUACUCCUCACUCCAGGACACAAUCAGACUCCACUCCCCCUGUCGGGCACUCUGUACCUGGUGUGGGCGUCAAGGGCAGCACCCCUUGUCCCCAGCUGCCUCCACCGCCGGCCUCUGCUCCCAGAGAGAGACGCAGACCUCCUUCUGAGGGCUGGGCGCCCAAACUCACUCUGGAGACCAAAGAUGGAGCAACAAGGGUUAGAACAUCCACCAAGAAGCCUCCAAGUAAUCAAGGCACCGCUGUUAGUAUGAAGGAUAAACCAGGCAACAUCUUCUUCUCACCAAAGGACAAAGUCACGUUUGCAAAGUUUGAGAAUGAAGCUGCCUCCAAAGAAACACCUGCAGCUGUUCCUAGAGAGGGACAACCUCCAACAGUCACAACAAAACCCUCUAAAGGAGCGAAACCUCGGGAUCCUGCGAACACUGAGGAGCAAAAGAAAAUUCACAAAGCCAUGUCAUCGGGAGAUUUAGGCAAAUCUGACUCAAUGCGAAAGAGUCUGCAGGAUGGGAGAGUUCGAGGCAAGAUGCGUUUCUGGGGAAAGGCAAAGUAUGGGGAAAAAAAGACCUCCAGAGAAAAGCUGAUCUGUGGGGGUGAUUCAAUGGAUGGGGACUAUGGAGACACUGGACCACUGCUGGGGGAGGGUCAGGAAAACAUGUCGCCCCCCUGCAGUCCUGAUCUGGUGAGGGAGGACAGAGGGUCCAGAGACCUGAAAGAGAACAAAGAACCGUCCCCUAAGGUGAAGCGAAGGCGCAGCGUUAAGAUCAGCAGCGUGGCUCUGGAGCCGGCUCAGUGGCAGAACGACUCGCUGCAGAUCCUCACCUGCACCAACGACUACAGGAGCAUGAACGACUUCCUGAUGAAGAAGAUCAACGACCUGGACACAGAAGACAGUAAGAAAGACACCAUGGUAGACGUCGUCUUUAAAAAGGCUCUGAAGGAAUUCCGUCUCAACAUCUUCAACUCUUACUCAACGGCACUCGCUAUGGAUGAUGGUAAAAGUAUCCGCUACAAAGAUCUGUACGCUUUGUUUGAGCACAUCUUGGAGAAGACCAUGCGACAGGAGCAGAGGGACUGGAGAGAGUCUCCCGUCACAGUGUGGGUCAACACCUUCAAAGUUUUCCUGGAUGAGUUCAUGACAGAGUACAAGCCUCUGGACAGCACGCUCAUCAAGCAGGCACCAAAACCUGAACGCAAAAAACGGAGGAAAAAGGACAAUGACAUUGUGGAGGAACAUAAUGGCCACAUCUUCAAGUCAACUCAGUACAGCAUCCCCACAUACUGUGAAUACUGCUCGUCCCUUAUCUGGAUGAUGGACCGGGCCUGUGUGUGCAAAUUGUGCCGCUACGCCUGCCACAGAAAGUGCUGCCAGAAAACGACUACUAAAUGCAGUAAGAAGUUUGAUCCAGAGCUUUCCUCCAGACAGUUCGGUGUGGAAGUUUCUCGUCUGACUAACGACGAGAGGACGGUGCCGCUGGUGGUUGAGAAGCUUAUAAACUAUAUAGAGAUGCAUGGACUCUACACAGAAGGAAUAUACAGAAAGUCUGGCUCUGCCAACAAAAUAAAGGAGCUAAAACUGGGACUUGACACAGACGUGGACAGCACCAACCUGGACGACUACAACAUCCAUGUCAUUGGGAGUGUUUUCAAGCAGUGGCUGAGAGAGCUUCCUAAUCCUCUCAUGACAUUUGAGCUGUACGAGGAUUUAUUCGUACCAUGGCGGGUCUACAGGAUAAAAAAGAGGCGAUCCGAGGGGUGUAUUCAAUUAUCGACCAGCUAAGCAGAACUCACCUAAACACUCUGGAGCGCCUCAUAUUUCAUCUUGUCCGGAUUGCCUUGCAGGAGGACACAAACCGCAUGUCAGCAAACGCCUUGGCUAUAGUUUUUGCUCCCUGUAUCCUGCGCUGUCCUGACACCAUAGAUCCACUGCAGAGCGUCCAGGACAUCAGCAAGACAACAGCCUGUGUAGAACUUAUUAUCUGUGAACAGAUGAAUAAGUACAAAGUACGACUAAAGGAUAUUAACAGCCUGGAGUUUGCUGAGAAUAAAGCCAAGUGCAGACUGACCCUCAUCAGACGAUCCAUGGUGAGUUCACAUAAUCUGAUUUAUAAUCCAGCAGUAAUUCGAUAAAUGUGCUAAUAACCAUUGUCUCAUUGCUAAAUCUACCUGACUGAACCGUCUUAAAAACUCCCUCAGUGCUUAACCUUCCCUGGUUUCCUCCUCUGAGCUGUUCUUCUCCUCUCCAUGUUACUCCAUCUAACCUGUCCUCUCCUUUACUCAGAAACCCGCACUUAUAGCUGUUAGAUUUUUGAGCAUAGCGCGUGCUAUGGUAUGUAUACACACACCAUGGACUGCAUCCCUAAACCAUCAUCCAGUGGUGAUGUUGUUGUGGUGCCGAUCACUACUCAGUCUCAUCUCGUCAAAACACAUAUCUAUCCACUUCAUCCUCAAAAGCAUGUGUCAUCACUUCACUCAGUCGGUUUCUGUUUUCUUCUUUUUUUGUGUCUCGGAUUGAUUACAUUUUUUGUUACAGCAGUUAGAUUUCCAUGAUCUUUGUGAAGUAUAGAACAUUCACAGUGCACGUUUGUCUUGUUUAAUUUCUUCAAAUCUGCAAAGACUUCAUUUUUCUUUAGGUUAAUAUCAAACAUUGUCUUUUAUGGCUGACAAUCUAACCUGCUAGUGUGGGAUGAAUAUGAUGGGUCACAGAUAGAUAGGAUGAAGAUAAGGUAUAUUUUUAUUUAUUGUUAAGAACAAGAAAUAGAGAAAAGCAUUGAAUAGUUCCAUAGGGAUCACAUACACGUACACACAGUGUCAAAUUUAGACAGUGGAAUGUGUUGUCUUUAUGAUAACCUGUAUGACACAGAUUUAUCUUUAUUUGUUUCAGCUUUUUUUUAUAUAUUUACAGAAGUUGAACUUUUUUUCCAACAGAAUUUCUGCAAAAAACAUCACUUUCAAAGCAAUACUAUUAGCUCAGUCUCCGGCACAAGUAGCAGUGCAACACAGCUAAGUAGAUGGUGAUCCAUACUAUAAUUGGUUGAUGCAAGUUCAGUAUUAUUUAUACAGUUAUAUGUGAAAUAAGCUGCCCUUGAAUAACCUGGUGUGUUUUUUUCAUGAUUUUUUUUAUGGCAUCCAGAAUGUUUCUAAGUAGCAAUAUUAGAUUAAAAAAUAUGUGGCUUGAUUUGACUUUUUUACAACACAGUGAAGUGCAUGAAGUAGAGAAAUAAAAAAGCGAGUAAGCAGAGAACAUUAUACGCACAUAUCCAGACUUAGAUCAAGUCCCAUUAUAUUCACUGUCAAGGCCACCAGCUCUAUGAAUCUGCUGGACUUUGAAAUGUAACUGUCCUUACUGUGACAAGGAGUAUUUUCAUUUCAAGGCAAAAAUCUGGUCCACAAUAAGUGAUCAGUCAGUAUUUCCCUCCCUUAUAACGUCUAGUGUGUCCCUUUUUUUUUUACCUUUCCCAAUCAAAAGUCAUGUUGAUAUCUUACAUGUUUGUAUUGUUCAUUGUUAACUACCAGAUAUAUUUGUUGCUGUUAGCUCACCACAACUCGUACACAGCUGUUCAAUAAAGUCAUUUAGGAUUAAAACCUUGACCUUUAUAAACCUGGCGUUACUGAUUUUAUCCUUUUUGCUUCUCACUUAAACCUGAAGCAGCCAAAUGCAGCCAAAAAGGGAAAAGGCCACGUACAGCGACUGAGCUACCACACGCCCUCGCCUCCGGUUAGCCCUCGGCUGCCGUUUGUGCCUGAUGCUGUGAUAACAGAGAGCGAUGGUGAAGAGAGAGCCGACUCUUUUCCAGAAAUCUCUGAGCAUCAGCAGGCAGCCAUGCAGCAGGAAGAGAGGGUGUUGACGGAGCAAAUUGAGAGCCUGCAGAAAGAAAAGGAGGAAUUGACUUUUGAAAUCCUGGCUCUGGAACCACGGGCCUCAGAUGAUGAGACCCUGGAGUCAGAGGCCUCUAUCGGUACAGCUGACAGCUCUGAAAACCUCAAUGUGGACUCUGAGGGAACCAUUUCUGACUUUUCUGAGAGAGGUCCCAUGGUGACCUCCCCCUGGCCUCGGAGGUCUGACGCACAGAGCCCCCGACGCCGGGCUCUCCGCAGGCAGCCUGACUCCCUGGACUCUGUGGACUCUUGCUCCAGCGUUUCCUCCUACUCCUCCUCAUCACACUUCCAGCCAACUUCAUCUGCCACCGGCCGGCGCUUUCGUUUCCACAACAAGUCUCCCUCAGGUUCAGCCCAGGCUCAGGCUCUGAAUGCAUCUCAAUCGUCCCGGUCCGACAGCUUCGAAAUGAGCCCCACAGGAGAUCAGGAAGUCUUGAAUGAUGAAGUACCGCAAUUUGUUAGCCGAGGCACCUACAACCCAGAGAGAGGCAAACAGAAACUCAGGGGGACCAAGCAUUCAACCAGGAGGCACUCCAGAGACGGGGAAGGCCACGGCAGGGACCCUUCAGAGAUACCACAACAGAUGGUAUUAUAUGGCAACAAUGAAUUCAUGGUAUGAAGGACACUGGGACACCAAAGCACUCCCUUUUUUUAACUCCCUGGCAGGAAUAUAAGCUCUCAAUGGGAGGUAACACUAUGGUGACUGAUCGCCACUCCUACAAGCACUCAUGCUUAGCCUUUCUUUGUUGAAGUCUGCAAAGAAGUCUCCCCAAGUGCCGUGUACAGUGUUACUGAAGGGGGUUUGUUAGACAGAGGGACAUAAAUCGGUGGAAGUGGCUCCUCUUCUGUGGACUAAACUGCCAUCCAUGCUCUCACAGUGCCUUGGCAGCUUUUUACCCAACGCCAAGAGGAGAGGGACUGAGCAGGAGGACAGAGAAAAGGGAACGUUGGGACAUGCAGAAGACCACUCAGCAUCAGGGAAAGUAAUGGAGCUGGAAAGCUAAGGCAGUGCGCUGCAGUGAAUACGAAGAAAUCAGGCAACAUCAGGCGUCACAGAUGUUACAGUGAACCUUAAGCUCACAAUUAUUAGCUGCUUUAUGAGUUUACAGUUCAUAACAAUCAGUGUAAGCAGUGGUUGCUCUGUUAUUACAAGUUUAUUUUCCCCUUAUUUAAUAAAUUUUAAUGUCACAGAAAUUCUUUAUAACAUAUAUUAUACAGGUAUAAAUACUGUACAAAGCCGGAACACCAGCCUCCGCUGGGUAGUUGAAGUCAGAUAUUUAUCUUUUUUUUUUUCUUGAGUAUCUUGGACAGAGAUGUACCGAUUUGGGCAGUGGAUGAUUUAUGAGUGUGUGUGUGUGCAUGUGCCAAGCGCUCAUGCUCGACUGUGUGUGUGUGAAAAAGAGAAAACCACUCCAUGUGUUUUAAGUUUUUGUGCUGCUUUUUCCCCCUUACAAGGGAAAUACCGCCAUCAAAGGGACCAAGACAGCUGGUGUGUAUUCCAGCCACGGGGAUCCCAGCUCUGUAAAGAAUGUUAUAUGUGUAUUAUUAAACCCCUGCAUUCACUGCUUAACAGCCAUACAACAAAUAUAAUGUACAGUACAGGUCAUAUGUACAGUAUAGUGGACAAAUGCCAUUCUUUCAUUGAACUCUAUUGUUACCCUUCCACCCCCAAACCUGUCCCCACCUUCUGUUUCAAAAGUGUUUGCUCAAUAGCAACCAAGCAAGAACAUAAAAUCAGCACGA